UACAGAGGGGGCAAGCGUUAUUCGGAAUUAUUGGGCGUAAAGGGCGCGUAGGCGGCCUGGCAAGUGGAAGGUGAAAUCCCUCGGCUUAACCGAGGAACUGCCCUCCAAACUGCUUGGCUUGAGUCCGGGAGAGGUGAGUGGAAUUCCCAGUGUAGCGGUGAAAUUCGUAGAUAUCGGGAGGAACACCAGUGGCGAAGGCGGCGAUCUGGGAAGAUACUGACGCUGAGGUGCGAAAAGCGUGGGGAGCAAACAGG
rnacentral:rRNA from 1 species